CCUACGGGAGGCAGCAGUGAGGAAUAUUGGGCAAUGGGCGGAAGCCUGAACCAGCCAAGUAGCGUGCAGGAUGACGGCCCUACGGGUUGUAAACUGCUUUUAUGCGGGAAUAACGCGCCUUACGUGUAGGGCUUUGCAUGUACCGUAUGAAUAAGGAACGGCUAAUUCCGUGCCAGCAGCCGCGGGAAUACGGAAGGUCCGGGCGUUAUCCGGAUUGAUUGGGUUUAAGGGGAGCGUAGGCCGCAUGUCAAGCGUGAUGUGAAAUGUCCGGGCUCAACCCGGGCAUUGCAGCGCGUACUGGCGUGCUUGAGUCCGCGGAAGGCAGGCAGAAGUCGUGGUGUAGCGGUGAAAUGCGUAGAUAUGACGAAGAACCCCGAUUGCGAAGGCAGCUUGCUGCAGCGGAACUGACGCUGAUGCUCGAAAGCGCGGGUAUCGAACAGGAUUAGAUACCCUUGUAGUC
rnacentral:rRNA from 1 species